GCCCUUGUAGUUCAAUGGAUAGAAUGGCUCCCUCCUAAGGAGCAGAUCUAGGUUCGAUUCCUAGCAAGGGCA
rnacentral:tRNA from 1 species